rnacentral:rRNA from 1 species
GACGAACGCUGGCGGCGUGCUUAACACAUGCAAGUCGAACGGAAAGGCCUCUUUCGGGGGGUACUCGCGUGGCGAACGGGGGAGUAACACGUGAGUAACCUGCCCUUUACUUUGGGGUAACUUCAGGAAACUGGGGCUAAUACCGGAUAGAAGCUCCUGCUGCAUGGUGGGGGGGGGGAAGUUUCGGCGGUUGGGGAUGGACUCGCGGCUUAUCAGCUUGUUGGUGGGGUAGUGGCUUACCAAGGCUUUGACGGGUAGCCGGCCUGAGAGGGUGACCGGCCACAUUGGGACUGAGAUACGGCCCAGACUCCUACGGGAGGCAGCAGUGGGGAAUAUUGCACAAUGGGCGGAAGCCUGAUGCAGCAACGCCGCGUGCGGGAUGACGGCCUUCGGGUUGUAAACCGCUUUCGCCUGUGACGAAGCGUGAGUGACGGUAAUGGGUAAAGAAGCACCGGCUAACUACGUG